UUGUUUUAUAAUAAGGAUUUUCUUCGAUCUCAAGUUACAAACAGUCCAGCUCACUUGUAAAUGUUGACCUUUAAUCCGUUAAGUUAAUGUUUGUUUCUACUGGACGAAAGAAAAGAUGAAAAUCUGCAAAGAAAUCGGACCAAACUCCGAUUCCUUUCUCGCAAUCUCACCGACAAAACAUUUGCCGGUCGCUUUUGAAAUUUAUACCCUUUUUCAAUGGCAUUUUAAUACAAAUAAGAUUUUAUUUCCAGAGCACCGAAAUAUGACUGAAUUGAGCUGUUGCGCUGUUUAGGAAUCAUUGCGAAAAUAUUUCUGUUCUAAAUAUUUCCCAGGAUGCCGAUUGUAUCGAAAACGGACUACUGUGAUGCGGAGUGUCCCGCCGUGUAUUGCUGUAUCAUUCACAGGUUGCAUAUUUGUCCAUCAACUUAUUGUUCAAGACGAAGAUGUUCAUGAUCGAUAAUAGGUUGCAUUGACCUAAACUCGUCCCAUCAGCUGACAAUAAUCAAGAUGAACGUUUUUGUUCCCUCAUAUGUGGAUAACAGAGAGAACGAGUUCCACGUAACAGAGAUAAUUUGUGAACACCGAAACUGCGUUGAACUCCGUUUGCUAUUUCGCGAGAGAGCCAUCCAUGAGUUGAAUUUUGAACAACAUCGGCGGCAUUGCAUCCAGAUAUCGUUUUGAACUCCCUCGAUCUACGCCCAGAAGAAGCAUUAAGAAUUAUGAUCUGGCUGAAUUGUACCUUUGAUUCUUCGAUUGUCUAAGCCUAAAAUGUGUUAAGGAAACGUUUGUUGUCGGGAAACAAACAAGCAAACACUGUAGCCAAAGCAUCUGAAAAUAAUUAAGGAAACGCGGAAAUGAAAACUCGGAAUUUGUACCAAUUUCACUUGUAUGAAGAAGGUUUGUCAAACAUUGGUAGAAUGGUGCGCAUUUUGUUCCGAGUUCGCCUUAUCAGAAGAGAUAGGCUUUGUAAGUUCUCUUCUACAACUGGAGUGCAGUGUGUCAUAAUUAAUUAAAAGAAUAAAGAAACCAAAAUAAACACGGCGCCUUGCUCCCGCUGGCUACAGAUACCGGAAUAAUUCAAAGUUUUAGAUUCCAAGGCUACUACAGUUCAACGAAACUUUCCGACUUAGAUUCGACUGAUGGGAAUUGAAAGUGGAAGCCUGCAGUGCAAUAUGCAUUCAUCUGAACAAGCUUACAGAGGGUCGUGAUAGUGAUGGUUGACAAGUUGUUUAUAAGCAGUUUGAUGCGAAAAUGGAUAUAUCGAAUUGAGAUGCCCCAGAAAAUUGUGAAAACAAGAACAAGCCCACGGGAAGAUUCUUUUAGAUCGUGUAAACAGAGGGAAAAACCACGAUGAAGAUGUUUGGCACUUCUUAUAUACGGUCCUGGAACGAUACUGUGUUUUGAGGUAAGCCCCAACCCGAUGCACCCUUGUUGAUUCGUGCUGUUCAAUGAUUAUGAUUAUCGAAUAGGGAAUCGAAUGGAAUAUAAAUUUCAAAGUUAUCUAUAUUUUGAUAUAAUAAUAUUAAUUGAGUUGAAAUUGCACAAUAAAUGAAAGUUGCAAAUCA